AUUGAACGCUGGCGGCAGGCCUAACACAUGCAAGUCGAGCGAGCGGCGGACGGGUGAGUAAUGUCUGGGAAACUGGCUGAUGUAGGGGGGUAACUACUGGAAACGGUAGCUAAUACCGCAUACCAUCAGAUGUGCCCAGCUGGGGUUGGCUAGUAGGUGGGGUGAUGGCUCACCUAGGCGACGAGCCCUAGGUGGUCUGAGAGGAUGACCAGCCGACCUGGAACUGAGACACGGUCCAGACGCCUACGGUCGGCAGGAGUGGAGAAUAGGGGGCAAUGGGCGAAAGCCCGAUGCAGCGAUGCCGCGAGUCCGAAGAGGGCAUGAGGGCUGUAGAGCUCUUUCCGUGGGGAGGGGGUACCUGCAGAAGAAGCACCGGCUAACUCCGUGCCAGCCGCCGCGGUAAUUC
rnacentral:rRNA from 1 species